ACCUGAGACUGGGACACCUGGCGCUCUCUUGUUUCCUGGACCUGGAAGCUAGAGGUAGACCACGGGGAGUUCUCCAGAGAACACCACCAGACUGCGCUGCAUCUUUUCCAGAACCCUCCACCUACUUAUCCCUUCAUUUGUAAGUUACCCACUAAAUAAAUCUUCCUUUUAACUACGUGGA